CUGAUUUUAUAUUUUUGCAAAACUAGGAUACAGUUUUAGGUUUUAGAGAUUCGAUCUGAAUUGACAGUAAAUUGAGCAAAUUUCGUCUUCCUCCUCCUUCUCCACUGCUCGUUUCUUUUUUUUUUUUUUUCCUCUUACUUUCUCUCCUUCAUUCUCUUCCUUCACCACCCUCACGUCACUCUACGCUUCUUCUUCAUAUUUUGCUCACAUCUCCGUCAGUACUUGAACGUCGGCUUUGAUACGACACAUAUUAUGAAGGUGCUCCUCCAUUGUGCACUUAAAUAAUCAGUUUGAUAACCUCAACUAUAUAGUUAAUAUUAUUCUUUUUUUUCUCCCCUCCAUUCAAGUAUAAUUUUUUUCCUAAAACUUAUCAAUAAAAA
rnacentral:lncRNA from 1 species